AGAUUUCCGUUACCACCAUCGGCAGUCCUUCUGAGGCAGGAGACCUCGGGAACAGCUUCACCAACGAGCCGGAGCCAUCAUCCCAAAGGAUCCUAUCCAAGAAGAAGGUGGCGGCACCCAUUUCAGUGUUUGAAUUUCCUCGGGAGGCAGAAUCCUGUUGCCCAGAAGCUUUCCAGUGGAAACUGAAGUCUUCGUCUCCCUUGAGCAGCGGAUCUCGGAGUGCCCGGAGCGGAAGUUUCCGUACCGACUGCAGAUGCCAAAGACUUGGGACACCAGGAAUAGAACCUCCACCGAUCUACUCCCUGCCUCUGGCAAACUUUUGCACUACACCUCGUUCUCUUCCCUGAUGGACACAGGAAAGCAACAGAGGAGAGAGGCUGGGCCUGAUAAAUGGAACAGGCCAGAGCUCAGUACCUAAGAGGAGGUCGGAGGAACGGCAGCCCGAGCUUCUCCAGAAUCUGUUAACCUGAUGCCUUCUGGGACCUGAACUACAUCAAAAGCCCCCAAAGGAGGAUCCCGUUUCCUUUCCUAACUGACUGGGCUCUUUCCAUGCUUGAUUCUCAUACUAUUGUAAUGGUUUGGUUGGAAGUGUUUUGCGAUCAAUACA